rnacentral:rRNA from 1 species
UAGUAACGGCGAGUGAAGCGGGAAGAGCUCAAGCUUAAAAUCUCCGUGCAAGUUUUGCGCGGCGAAUUGUAGUCUAUAGAGGCGUGGUCAGUGAGGGCGCUCGGGGCAAGUUCCUUGGAAGAGGACAGCAUGGAGGGUGAUACUCCCGUUCAUCCCUGGGUGGCUCUUGCGUACGACCCGUUUUCUUUGAGUCGCGUUGUUUGGGAAUGCAGCGCAAAGUAGGUGGUAAAUUCCAUCUAAAGCUAAAUAUUGGUGCGAGACCGAUAGCGAACAAGUACCGUGAGGGAAAGAUGAAAAGAACUUUGAAAAGAGAGUUAAAGAGUACCUGAAACUGCUGAAAGGGAACCGAAUCGUUUCCAGUGUCUAUAAUCCGUGGUAUAUUUCAUUGGUGAGUGUGUGCGUGCGUGUGCUUUGGCAGUGGCUUUUUUGGCUGCGCUGGGCGUGUGUGCUGUGUGUGCUUGCUGGUGCCCUGUGCUGCGGUGGGACGUCAAGGUCAGUUCGUAUGCUGCGGGAAAUGGCUGCCGAGGAGGUAGGGCUUACGCUCCGCGUUUGUCUGUUAUAUCUUGGUGGACGAGUCGUCGCGGUUGGGACUGAGGUGCCUACAACGUGCUUUUGAGUGAGUGUGGGUCUCCGUGUGCGCCGUGUGCGGAUAGCUUGCUAUGCGUGUGUGGUUGUGUGUGGAUUGAUGCGCGCUGUAACUUGUCGCCGUUC